AAGGCCAUAUAUACUUCUAAUGGAAUGCUUUUGGUUAAUUAUACUUGAGCACAGUGCCAUACCCUCAAGCUGAUCAUCUCAAUCUCGAAGGAAACUAACUCUGCUACAUCUUUCUCAAACCAUUUAAUCGAGUUUAUGACAUCAACAGAUUAUCACUUAAAUGGGUAUCAAAUAAAUUGAACCAAUAGUUGUUUCAACUUUUAUACCGAAGCAAUCCAUUCAGCUUUUGUAUAUAUAACAAAUAAAAACAAGCAUCUGCAUAAGACUAGUCUUGAAAAACAGGACUAAUAUAUGACAGCUAAUUAACUCCACCCAAUAAUUGAUGUCAUACAAAAUAUCACUUUCAGGUAUUAUAUCAAACUAGGGUUUAGGUAUUGGCACAUAAAACUAGCUUUUGCAGCAUAUAAGUAUAUUCAUAUAAAAACUUACACAUACAGCAACUGCAUAUAAGACCAAUUUCCCAUAAUAGCGUCCAAAUAAAUGACCAUAUAAGGAAUUAAGAGAAUUACAGAAUAAUUAC
rnacentral:lncRNA from 1 species